CAGUCGCCACGGUAAUACAGAGGGUGCGAGCGUUAAUCGGAUUUACUGGGCGUAAAGCGUGCGUAGGCGGCUUUUUAAGUCGGAUGUGAAAUCCCUGAGCUUAACUUAGGAAUUGCAUUCGAUACUGGGAAGCUAGAGUAUGGGAGAGGAUGGUAGAAUUCCAGGUGUAGCGGUGAAAUGCGUAGAGAUCUGGAGGAAUACCGAUGGCGAAGGCAGCCAUCUGGCCUAAUACUGACGCUGAGGUACGAAAGCAUGGGGAGCAAACAGGAUUAGAUACCCCCGUAGUCCCUGUCUCUUAUAU
rnacentral:rRNA from 1 species